rnacentral:lncRNA from 1 species
GAAUGGGUAGUUUUUUUUCUCAUUUUCAUCCAACACCACCCCAUCUCCAUUUUCACAUGCUAUUUUCCUUACACACACAACCAUUACCUCAUUCAUUUUUACAAACUCAAAAACUAUCCAUCCAACUCUUCGAUCUUCAAGUCUUCACACUCUUCUUAAUCGAUUAACAUGCUAUUCCCCCACCCACCAUUGUAUUCUCACACAAAAGAACCAAAUAUGGUGAUGGAGCAUCUCCUAUGGCGGUGAUUAGGGCGACAUGAUCGACAUUCCGAUUCUAGACAUCCUUCAAUGAAUUGGUCCCAUGGCCUUUAAAAGCGACGUCCUCUCAUCCACCUCCACCGAUAAAAUAAUGCCUUUUAGUUAUUUUGCUUUUCCAUCCAUAUUUUUACACUAUAUUGGAUUGAAUGAGGGAUUUGGGCUUUGUUUUUUCAUUCUGUUUUGUUGGUGAGGUUAUUUAUUUAAAAUAUAGUGGCAUGGAAUUGGACUCUGAAUUGAAACGUGAAAACCUAAUUUGAAAUUAGACACUAUAUUUAAAGUUUAAUUCUGUGAUUUCCCAAUUGAGUUGUUUGCUUUCUGUGGUUUCAUUUGCUUUUGCACAUGUGAAUUUUGUUAACUGUGCAUCAUUUUUAUUUUUUUAUUUUUUUGGGGUAGAUUUGGUGGGAUCUGAGAAUUGGAAUCCUCACGAAGAUAAUUAUGCAUUUGAAAGUUCUGGUGAAAUGUUUGAUGAUGAAUGAUAAAUCGCCUG